AUCUGGUUGAUCCUGCCAGUAGUCAUAUGCUUCUUUCAAGGACUAAGCCAUGCAAGCCUCAGAGUACAUGGAAUAACAGUAGAUCUGUGAAUGGCUCAUUACAUCAGCAAUAAUCUACGCGGUGACGUGGGGGUUUCAACCCUGCCUACUGGAUACCCAGGCUAACUGCCUGGCUAAUACAUGGACGAAGAACGCUUUCUCACUUGACGCGCAGCAGCGGGGCGACUCGUCUGUUGCGUGGAGACAGCGUGCAUUCAGCCGAUACCAAGACCAGCGCCCGCAAGGGCAGCGUGCAUUGAUGAUUCAGGCUGUCCUGUGCAAUAGCAGAGUGAUGUACAUCAUCGCUGCUUGGCCGCACGAACUUCUGACCUAUCAGCUUAGGACUGUGGUGUAGUGGACCACUGUGGCUAUCACGGGUAACGGAGAAUUAGGGUUUGAUACCGGAGAGGGAGCCUGAUACACGGCUACCACUGCUAAGGUGGGCAGCAGGCACGCAAAUUGCCCAAUACCAGCACACCUGGUGAGGCAGCAACGAGCUGUAGCAAUUCCGCCGGUCCCUGUGACAGGCGGAAUUUGCAAUGGAUGCCAUAUCCAAACCCAGCAAUGAUGAUCAACUGGAGGGCAAGUCUGGUGCCAGCAGCUGCGGUAAUUCCAGCUCCAACGGCGUAUACUAAUAUUGCUGCUGUUAAAACGCUUGUAGUCGACCACAGAACGUGGGGCUGCGAGGUGGCCUACAACAGUGGUCCUGAGGACAGCUUCGGUUGUUUGAUGGCCUGCUGAAGUGGGAACUCAACCCCUCGCAGUAUGCCCCCGCGUUCGCUGCACAUGGGACCGAUUGCACCUGCGAUAAGUGGGCUUCAUUGACCACCGACGCGGCUUCACCCGCAACGCGGGUACGGGAUCAAGUGCCAUUCGUGUCACUCCCACCCCCGGUGUCGUCCAUGGCUGUUACCGUGAACAACUCAGCGCGUCCAAAGCGACCGACUAUUGGCUGCAUGCUUCCGCAUGGGAUAACAAAGGAUUGACCAGAUGGGCUUUCGUAUUUUGCUGGCCUUAGUGUCCAUCAAGGGCAAUACGGUGCUGUCCCCCCAGUUAGGUGGCCAACUUCGGUUGCGUUCACCCGAUUGGUGGUGCAGUGCCGACCAGUAAUGAUGGGAGCGUUCGGGGUGAUGGGUAUCGAAACGCUAGAGGUGAAAUUCUUAGAUCGCUUUGGGAUCAGCUGCAGCGAAGGCGUUUUGCAAGGGCAUGUCCGUCGAUCAAGAACGAGAGUGUGGGGAGCGAAGAUGAUCAGAUACCGUCGUAGUCCACUACCGUAAACUAUGUCGGCUCGGCGUUGGCGGUGUAUUCUGCUUAUAAGGGCACCGCCAGUUCCACUCUUCUGCAACGAGAAAUCAAAGCUUGUGGGUUCAGGGGGGAGUACUGUCGCAAGGCUGAAACUUAAAGGAAUUGACGGAAUGGCACCACAAGGCGUGGAGUAUGCGGCUUAAUUUGACUCAACACGGGGAAUGUUACCAGGUCAGGACGUAGCUGGGAUUGACAGAUUGAGAGCUCUUUCUUGAUUCUUUGGACGGUGGUGCAUGGCCACUCCUGAUUGGUGGAGUGAUUUGUCUGGUUGAUUCCGAUAACGAAUGAGAUCUCUGCCUCCCAAUAGUCCCCGGU
rnacentral:rRNA from 1 species